rnacentral:misc_RNA from 1 species
GAUGAAGAACGCAGCGAAAUGCGAUAAGUAAUGUGAAUUGCAGAAUUCAGUGAAUCAUCGAAUCUUUGAACGCACAUUGCGCCCGCCAGUAUUCUGGCGGGCAUGCCUGUUCGAGUGUCAUUUCAACCAUCAAGCCCCGGGCUUGUGUUGGGGACCUGCGGCUGCCGCAGGCCCUGAAAUGCAGUGGCGGGCUCGCUGUCACUCCGAGCGUAGUAGUUACAUCUCGCUCUGGGCGUGCUGCGGGUUCCGGCCGUUAAAAGCCUUAUUUACCCAAGGUUGACCUCGGAUCAGGUAGGAAGACCCGCUGAACUUAAGCAUAUCAAUAAGCGGAGGA